rnacentral:rRNA from 1 species
AACCUGCGGAGGGAUCAUUGCUGGAACGCGCCCCAGGCGCACCCAGAAACCCUUUGUGAACUUAUACCUUACUGUUGCCUCGGCGCCGCUGGUCUCUAGUAGGCCCCUCCACCCCGUUGGAGGAAAAGGCACGCCGGCGGCCAAUUUAACUCUUGUUUUUACACUGAAACUCUGAGAAAAAACACAAAUGAAUCAAAACUUUCAACAACGGAUCUCUUGGUUCUGGCAUCGAUGAAGAACGCAGCGAAAUGCGAUAAGUAAUGUGAAUUGCAGAAUUCAGUGAAUCAUCGAAUCUUUGAACGCACAUUGCGCCCUCUGGUAUUCCGGAGGGCAUGCCUGUUCGAGCGUCAUUUCAACCCUCAAGCAUUGCUUGGUGUUGGGGCACUGCUUUUGACCAAGCAGGCCCUGAAAUCUAGUGGCGAGCUCGCCAGGACCCCGAGCGCAGUAGUUAAACCCUCGCUUUGGAAGGCCCUGGCGGUGCCCUGCCGUUAAACCCCCAACUUUUGAAAAUUUGACCUCGGAUCAGGUAGGAAUACCCGCUGAACUUAAGCAUAUCAAUAAGCGGAGGAA